CAGCGCCACGAGUGGCAAUCACAUUUAUUGGGCCUAAAGCGUCCGUAGCGGGUUUGGAAAAUCUCUUGUGAAAUCGUUGAGCUCAACUCAACGGCGUGCAGGAGACACUACUGAACUUGAGACCGGGAGGAGUCAGAGGUAUGUCAGGGGAAGCGGUAAAAUGCAAUAAUCCUUGAUAGGCCACCUGUGGCGAAGGCGUCUGACUAGAACGGAUCUGACCGUGAGGGACGAAAGCCAGGGGAGCAAACCGGAUUAGAUACCCGAGUAGUCC
rnacentral:rRNA from 1 species